AAUCGCUAGUAAUCGCGGAUCAGAAUGCCGCGGUGAAUACGUUCCCGGGUCUUGUACACACCGCCCGUCACACCAUGGGAGUCGGAAAUGCCCGAAGUCUGUGACCCAACCUUAGGGAGGGAGCAGCCGAAGGCAGGUCGGAUGACUGGGGUGAAGUCGUAACAAGGUAGC
rnacentral:rRNA from 1 species